rnacentral:rRNA from 1 species
GACGAACCGUGCAACGUUGUUCGGAAUCACUGGGUUUAAAGGGCGCGUAGGCGGUCGGUUAAGUCGGUGGUGAAAUACUUCAGCUCAACUGGAGAAUGGCCGCUGAAACUAGCCGGCUCGAGGGAGCUAGAGGUGCGUGGAACUUCCGGUGGAGCGGUGAAAUGCGUUGAUAUCGGAAGGAACGCCUGUGGCGAAAGCGACGCACUGGAGCUUUUCUGACGCUGAGGCGCG